AAAGUCGUAACAAGGUUUCCGUAGGUGAACCUGCGGAAGGAUCGUUAAAGAGACGUUGCCCUUCGGGGUAUACCUCCCACCCAUUGUUUAUUUACCUUUGUUGCUUUGGCAGUCCCGGCUUCGGCCCACCGGCUCCGGCUGGUCAGUGACUGUCGAAGAUACCAAAACUCUGUUUGUUAAUAUUGUCUGAGUACUAUAUAAUAGUUAAAACUUUCAACAACGGAUCUCUUGGUUCUG
rnacentral:misc_RNA from 1 species